rnacentral:rRNA from 1 species
GUCGAGCGGUAGCACAGGAGAGCUUGCUCUCUGGGUGACGAGCGGCGGACGGGUGAGUAAUGUCUGGGAAACUGCCUGAUGGAGGGGGAUAACUACUGGAAACGGUAGCUAAUACCGCAUAACGUCUUCGGACCAAAGUGGGGGACCUUCGGGCCUCACGCCAUCAGAUGUGCCCAGAUGGGAUUAGCUAGUAGGUGGGGUAAUGGCUCACCUAGGCGACGAUCCCUAGCUGGUCUGAGAGGAUGACCAGCCACACUGGAACUGAGACACGGUCCAGACUCCUACGGGAGGCAGCAGUGGGGAAUAUUGCACAAUGGGCGCAAGCCUGAUGCAGCCAUGCCGCGUGUGUGAAGAAGGCCUUCGGGUUGUAAAGCACUUUCAGCGAGGAGGAAGGGUACUGUGUUAAUAGCACAUUUCAUUGACGUUACUCGCAGAAGAAGCACCGGCUAACUCCGUGCCAGCAGCCGCGGUAAUACGGAGGGUGCAAGCGUUAAUCGGAAUUACUGGGCGUAAAGCGCACGCAGGCGGUUUGUUAAGUCAGAUGUGAAAUCCCCGCGCUUAACGUGGGAACUGCAUUUGA